GGGGAUUUGGCUCAGUGGUAGAGCGCUUGCCUAGCAAGCGCAAGGCCCUGGGUUCGGUCCCCAGUUCCA
rfam:Rattus norvegicus chromosome 8, whole genome shotgun sequence.